rnacentral:tRNA from 1 species
GUGUUCAUAGUAUAGUGGUGAGUAUUCCCGCCUGUCACACGGGUGACCCAGGUUCGAUCCCCGGUAACGACG